UACGGGGGGAGCAAGCGUUGUUCGGAUUUACUGGGCGUAAAGGGCGCGUAGGCGGCCACCGCAAGUCAAUUGUGAAAUCUCCGGGCUUAACUCGGAAAGGUCAACUGAUACUGCGGGGCUAGAGUGCGGAAGGGGCAACUGGAAUUCUCGGUGUAGCGGUGAAAUGCGUAGAUAUCGAGAGGAACACCUGCGGCGAAGGCGGGUUGCUGGGCCGACACUGACGCUGAAGUGCGAAAGCUAGGGGAGCGAACGGG
rnacentral:rRNA from 1 species